AACGAACGCUGGCGGCAUGCCUAACACAUGCAAGUCGAACGAUGCUUUCGGGCAUAGUGACGCACGGGUGCGUAACGCGUGGGAAUCUGCCCUUUGGUUCGGAAUAACAGUUGGAAACGACUGCUAAUACCGGAUGAUGACGUAAGUCCAAAGAUUUAUCGCCAGAGGAUGAGCCCGCGUGAGAUUAGGUAGUUGGUGGGGUAAAGGCCUACCAAGCCGACGAUCUCUAGCUGGUCUGAGAGGAUGAUCAGCCACACUGGGACUGAGACACGGCCCAGACUCCUACGGGAGGCAGCAGUGGGGAAUAUUGGACAAUGGGCGAAAGCCUGAUCCGGCAAUGCCGCGUGAGUGAUGAAGGCCUUAGGGUUGUAAAGCUCCUUUACCCGGGAUGAUAAUGACAGUACCGGGAGAAUAAGCCCCGGCUAACUCCGUGCCAGCCGCCGCCGUAA
rnacentral:rRNA from 1 species